rnacentral:pre_miRNA from 1 species
AUAUGAACUACCUGGGGAUCUCGUUAAAAUGCAGAUUCUGAUUCGGGAGGUCUGGAGGGUGGUCGGAAGUCUGCAUUUCUAACAAGCUUCCAGGUGAUGCUGAU